rnacentral:lncRNA from 1 species
GGAACUUCAUCAAAGUCAGGACGCGGAGCAGCUUCCCCAGCUGGACCAUGCCGCUCCGGAUGCUGCUGCGGUAGCGGCGGCGGCGCUGGAGGGGAUGCUGGUGGGCUCUCCCAGGUCCCGGCUUCUCGAGAAAAAAUGGAAGUCUGAAACAGCUUUACCUUAAGCACUUGAUCAACUACAUGAAAGUAUAGAUUGAUUCUUCUGGAUUUAAGACCUCACUUUUUGACCAAUAGCUGAGCUUGCUGCCAUGGGCUGCCUGAACAAGUACCAAGAGGCCAGAGAAGAAUUGGAUGUUCUCCAGUCCUGGAACUGGAGUCAUGGAUAUCUGUGAGCGACCACAUUGGUCCUGGGAGACCAACCAACCAACCAACCAACCAACCAACCAACCAACCAACCAACAGCAAAAUCAACAGCAAAAGCAUCUAGUUUUCGGCAAGAGCAUAAAAUGCUCUUAACCACUGAGCCAUAUCUCCUGCCUCAAUUUCAUCUGAUUUUUUUUUCCUAUGAUUUCACUUUCCAUCAUACUGUGUGGAAAACACUUUCUACUUUUAAUUUCUGUCUGUUGCAUAUGUGUGUGGGUGUCUGCAGGCCAGAAGAGGGCAUAGUUAUCUCAUGUAGCUACCACUGCAAGCAAUCUUGAGCAUCUCAGCAUGGGUGCUGGGACCCACACCUCCUCAGGAUCAGCAAGAGCUCUUAGCUGAUUAGCCAAACCCCAAUAUCUUUUCUGUAUAUAUUUAAUUCUAAUUUGUAAUCUACCAAGCUACCAUUAAUUUCUGCUUCCUUUUUUUCCUAUAUGUGAGCAUAUAUGUGUAUAUGCUAAGUAUAUAUCUAGGUAAGGCCUAGAAGUAGUUGUCAGCUCUGGAACAAGAUUUACAAGUGACUGGUAAGGUACCGAAUUUGACUGCUAGAAUCUGAACUCAGGUCUUCAAGAGCAGCAAGUCGUAUUAGCUGCUGAUGCAUCUCUCCCCCGCUUAGUAGCAUUUCUUAAGCUAAAACAAUCUAAAUAUCAUUCCUUUCUUCAUACAUAUAUCCAGCCACAUGUUUUGGAUUUUUUUUCUGACAUAGUAUCUCAAGAAUCCAUUUUUCCAAAAAUAAGAUUGACCUUCUUGCCGGGUGGUGGUGGCACACGCAUUUACCUUUAAUCCCACACUUGGAAGGCAGAGGCAGGUGGAUUUCUGAGUUGGAGGCCAGCCUGGUCUACAAAGUGAGUUCCAGGACAGCCAGGGCUAUACAGAGAAACCUUGUCUCGAAAAACCAUAAAAGAAAAAAAAAAAUGACAGUCUUAUCCUUUUACCUCCUAAGCAUGGGGAACAAACAUGGACUCAUCACGGUUAUAUACAGUGCUGGGGAUUGACCUUCAUACUUCUCCUAUGCUCACAACCAUCUGCAACUUUACUUCAAGGAUUAUGUUUAUCUUUUCUGAACUUUCUUAGAACCAGGCACAUGAUGCACAUACACAUGCACAGGCAGAAUUCUCAUAUGCAUAAAUUGAAAAUAAAUAAAAAUUCACCUAGUGAAUUCUAUCUUCAGAUAGAAUAGAAUGGAGACAGAAUUAAAAUGGACAUUCACACUUACUUUACAUUAUUAAAUAUGGUCACUUUUCCCUGGAGAAAAAGACACUAUUACAUUUUGUGUUGUAUUUUUCUGAGAUUCAUUUUUUGGUAGAUAUAUUUAUGUCAUUUAACUAUCAUCUAUUCCUCAUAUUUCUUUUUUCUUAUUGUUAAAAUAUCUGGUAUUGCACAGAAAUACAUAGUAAAAGCCUCUGCAGGCCAGGUCAAAAGUC